AUUGAACGCUGGCGGCAUGCCUUACACAUGCAAGUCGAACGGUAACAGGUUAAGCUGACGAGUGGCGAACGGGUGAGUAAUGUAUCGGAACGUGUCCAGUCGCGGGGGAUAACUGCUCGAAAGAGCAGCUAAUACCGCAUACGACCUGAGGGUGAAAGCGGGGGAUCGCAAGACCUCGCGCGAUUGGAGCAGCCGAUGUCAGAUUAGGUAGUUGGUGGGGUAAAGGCCUACCAAGCCUACGAUCUGUAGCUGGUCUGAGAGGACGACCAGCCACACUGGGACUGAGACACGGCCCAGACUCCUACGGGAGGCAGCAGUGGGGAAUUUUGGACAAUGGACGCAAGUCUGAUCCAGCCAUGCCGCGUGCGGGAAGAAGGCCUUCGGGUUGUAAACCGCUUUUGUCAGGGAAGAAAAGGUUCUGGUUAAUACCUGGGACUCAUGACGGUACCUGAAGAAUAAGCACCGGCUAACUACGUGCCAGCCGCCGCUGUAAAAC
rnacentral:rRNA from 1 species